CACCUCUGUGGACAGGUGGGACAUGUAAUGCAUGAAGGACUUACAAUAGGUAAGAUAGUUUCAAUAUAACAGUAUAAUAUUACAUUGCUUUAGAUAUACAUUUAUUAUUUUAUAUAUUACUAUUCUAAGCUCUAGAAGUGAAGUUUUAUAUUUAAACAUAGCUCUUGUGUGGUGAGGAAGUGUUUGACUAUGACUAAAUUAAAUUCAGAAGUAAAACACACCUUGUGUUUCUUGCUUGUGAACUUCUCCAGGUUUCUCCAAGGCAACAGAGACCGUUGAUUUAGACUAAUAAAAACAAAAAAGAUGGUAAAAUACUCAGAAGAAAUUUUUUCCAAAAAGGUGAUAUCAGAUCUUCCAGAAGUAUGUGUCUCCUCUUACAGCUCUUGUAAUCUUUUUGGGCAUCUCAACUUGGCGAAGAGUCUGAGAUGAUUCGGUCACACUGCGAUGACGAGUGAGCAAUGCACUCCUACACAAACAAACGGAGCGAUUCCGCAGGUCCUGCAGACCAUCCUUGCUGUCCAAAGCCAGGCUGAGGGAGGGAGGUGAGGAGGCAGAAGGGGAAAUGCUGUCCUUGGCAACAGACUCAUCACUGAAAAAGUCAGCAGGCAGAACGGCCACCAGCGCCUCAGGAAGCUGAGUGCCCAGACUGUGGUAGAUGUCUGCAAGCACCCUGGGGACAGUGGUCAGGAAGCUGCCAGGAUACACAAGAGUUCAUUCCAGGCUCUUACAACUGUAGGUUACGUACAAAAUUAUUUAUUUAACUUUCAAAGUUGUAAAUGUUUAUGUUGUGAGUACAGAGAGCCAUGAUAAACCAAAACAGUUCGAGUAUUGGUUGAACUCAUUAUGUUGUGUAUUGUGGGAGCUACAUGAAGCCCAAAUACAUACGCUGGGAGAACAUCAUCCUGAAGGAACCUUGUCAUGCAAACUGGGUCUUUAGUUAGAGAGAUGAUCCUCAACAUUUCAGCCACCUACAAAACAGAAGGUCAAUGGUGUUUCUGUGUGUUUAGAGCUCUACAAUCAGAGAACAUAGACAUCAUUAGUUCGAGGUGGUACCUCUUCUGCCAUCUGAUCACCAUCUAGUGAGCCAGAUUGCGCCAAAGACAAAACUCUGCACAACUCCAGCCGCAGCACUGCUUGAAGCUGGCACCUAGAGGAAACAAUUCAUUACUGAUGAACUACACAAAAAAAUAGUUGCCUGGCUCAAGGAAUAAAUGGCCACGUAGUGAGAUUUUACUCAGUCUGAUAAAACUUAAGAUAUUACUCACUCUUUAACUUUGCUAUCAACAUCACUGCAUGUGCCAUAGAACUGCCUUAGUGAUUUGCUGGUCUUGAGGAGGUGCUGCUUAACAAACUCUGAGGUCUUUACCUGUUAUGGAGAUAUCAUUUUAGAAACUGAAUCACUGGCCAACUGUGGUGCACUGUAAUGUUACUUCCUCCAUGUUAAAUGUGCAAACUGCCGCUUUCACAACAUAAAACUUAAAACCUGACAUUA